AAAUCAUUUCUAGGCCACUGUCACUGUCAGUCAGGAGUGUCAGCUGUCAUUCAAUGGCGGAUUUUUGGCCACGUCGGUCGUUUACGUUUUGCGCGUUGAAUUCCUUUAAUGAAAAUUAAGGUUCCCAUCCUGCAGGACCACAAGCUGUGUGGAAAUUUGUUGCUAGACCUUGAGGAAAUGUUGAGGAAGAACUAUUAGCCAAGAUGUAACUCAACUGGUUUCCAGACUGUGGGUUCCAAGCUGUGGAGAAAUUUGCUUCUAGACCUUAGGACAAUGUUCUCGGGCGCCUUCGGCAAAGAUGUAUUCAACCCUUUUAAGGCAAGACUGAAUUUUGGUUUAUGGUGUAAAACAAUUGCCACUUCAAAUUCUUCAAAAAAGUUAUUGUGAAUUAAUGUCUUUGUAUUAUUUUAUUGGUUGUAAUAAUUAUUACUGGUCUAAUUACAAAAAAACGAUGUAAAAAAAUUUCCCACUUCCGCCCACAAUUCCACCACUGUUUUAUAAGCGCUCAAAUAUCCAAUUAUACA